rnacentral:sRNA from 1 species
ACCGGGAUGCCGAAGUCUGGGUUCCGGUGAAAACCAACCUCGCUGAUCAAACAGGAGCUUUGACGAUGAAU